UAAAAGGUGAGUUCAAAACUCUUAAUACUUAUCCUCUUAGAUCCUCAAUAUGGAUCUAUCCAAAACUCAAACAUUGCUGCUUUAGGGUUGAUUAUGUCGGUUUGUAAUUUGUAUAUUAGCAAAGCACCGCUACACUUGAUUGUUAUGAAGUUUUGACGGCAGAACUACCUGCCAGCUUGCGCAGUUGCGCUCAUCAAAUCUUGUUAGUGCUUUCACUUCUUAUUCCUCUUUAAUUGUUAAUUGCACAUAAUUAUGUCUCUAUGUUCUUAAUUAUAUCAUUGUUGCAUGAUUAUACAGUUUUGUUUGUGUUGUCACUUUUCUGAUCUAAUUAUAUUGGUUUCUAUUUCUUGCAACUUUUUGUUCGAUUUAUCGCCGUGGCAAAGUUGUAAAUAAAUAAUUGAUCAGAUUCAUGAUCUAUUUUGGGGGGGGGGGUUUACUUACUUACAUUCAUGAUCUGAUUCACAUUAGAGUUAAUCUGAUUCACAUUAUAGUUGAUCUGAUUCAUAUAAUAAUUGAUCUGAUUUCUCUCCUUCAUGAUCAGAGUUGUCUAAAUUGCCAUUAAGUCAACUUUUUUUUGUCUUUUUCUGACAAAAUUACUAAUAUAUCUCGCUAUGGACACUGUUGGCCCAUACCAGAUAUGCCCCAAUAGUUUCUCAGCUAAUACUCUUUCCGUUUUAUUUUAAUCUACACACUUACACUUUUUACGCAUGUCAAUGCAAAAUUUUGAGGACAUAAAUCUUUAGUUUUGCAUUUGUAAAAAUUAUAAAAAGUACAUAUUAGUAAAAUACAUGUUAUGAUGAAUCUAACAAGAUCCUAUGACUAUAAUUUUAUCCGCGAAUAAAUCACAAAUGAUAGUCAAAGUGAAAUUUGUGCAUAGUGUAAAAUGUCAAAGUGUGUAGAUUAAAUUGAAAUGGAGGGAGUAAAAGUUUAGGGUAGGAGUGGUUCUGUUUAACUUAUUUCGUCUCAUCUUAUACUAUAAGAUCUUAUAAAAUCUUAUCUGAUUUUAUCUUAUUUUAUUUUUUCUGAAAUGAGUGAAGAUAAGUUAACCGACUAAGUUAGUUGUAUUUAGUGUUAUUAUCAUAAUUUAUUAUAUUAAUAAAUGAAAUUUUUUCUUAUCCAGGCUAUAGGGGUCUAAUAACUAGUUCUUUAUAUAAGAAAGAGAAUAUAUUCUCUUAAGUAGUUCUUUUUUUUGAAAGGAUUCCAAAAAGGGAACAAUUAUAUUAGAUCAGCCAAAGCCAAAGAGACAAUUGAGUCAGGCACGUCCUCAAUCCACACUCGCUUACCCAAUUCCAGGGGCUGGAAAUGAGCUAACGCAUGGGCCACAUUGUUUCCCGACCUCCUAACAAAAGACCAAUGAACACUAGAAAAAGAUGACGUUAGCAUACGAAUAUCAUCGAUAGCAAGAAAAAACUUAUUCUGCCCCGUCUUCUUGCUGGACAUCGCUUGUAUCAUGGCCAGGCAAUCACCUUCGCACUCGACUCUGUCAACACCCACCUCACGAGCCAACAUCAAGCAUUCUACCAUAGCUUUCGCUUCCGCCACCAUAGGCUCCCAUCUGGUCGUCGACUGUAUAGCACCGCGGCCCACCACCUCGCCCAGCUCAUUUCUGCACACUACGCCCAACCCCGAGCGACUGCCACCAAAAAUGCUGGCAUCGACAUUGAUUUUGAAUCCCCCCUCCACUGGUGGUCUCCACUUUGCGUUGAGAUUCGAGUCCCCCUGAACACCCCUCAUCUGCUUCUCUUCUCCCAACCCCAUGACCUGGUUAAAUGUAGAGUUUGCAUAAUCCACUACCGAUUUCGAACUCCAUACUUCACCCUCAAUAGAUUUACAGCGAGCGCCCCAGAUUGCCCAACAAAAAGUCAGAAUUUUUGCCCUCUCCACUGCAUCCAUAGUUUUAAAACACGAACCCCACCAAUCUGCCACCAGCGUACAUCCCGACGGCAUAGUGACCUCCAUCGCGCUAGCUUCCCAAAUCGAUUGCGCGAAAGCACACCCGUACAAGGCACGGAGGCCCGUUUUUGCUGGGCAGCCACAAAGUCUGCAAGAAGCCACAACUUGCACCAUUCGUUGAUGGGGACCCACAUUAGUUGGCAGAUCGUCCAGUGCUGCUCUCCACGCAAAAGUUUUCACCCUCACAAGCACAUUAGAAUCCUAGAUGACCUUCCAUAACUCUAAAGGUUGAGACGUCGCAGCUUCCGCAUCAGGAUGCUCAUCCCCUGCUAGUGCUCUAUAGGCCGACCGUACUGAGUAAGUUUCGUGCUUCUCUAAGUCCCAGCACACCUCAUCUUCUGGCAUCCGAUGACUAAUAGGGAUACUUUGCACUCUUUCCGCUUCGAAUGGCAGAAAUAAUUGAGAGACCAACUCCAAAUUCCAGUCCUUUGUGAUGGGAUUAAUUAGCGCACCCACCUCAAUAUCUUCGUUGGCUUCUCCUCGCGGAGAAAUAAUUCGCCUCGACUGAGUCCCAGGGAUCCAUGGGUCCUUCCACACACGUAUCUUCUCACCAUUCCCUACCCUCCAUCGCAUCCCUCUCUUUACAACCCACUUUGCUUCCCAAAUGUCGCGCCAUGCAUAGCUCGGAUGAGACCCAAGCGACGAUUCCAUAAACGAGGCAUGCAGAUUGUAACGCGCUUUGUAUAUUUGUUCAAUGAGACUACCUUGUUCCAACACCAACCUCCAGGCUUGCUUGCCUAGGAGAGCCCAAUUAAAUAAUUUCAUAUCCCGGAAACCUAACCUACCCUCCGCCUUGGGUCUACAAAGCUUCUUCCAUGCUAUCCAAUGAAUCUGUGCUCACUUCCCUUUUGACCCCACCAGAACUUUGUCACAAGGGCUCGAAUCUCAUCACAAAAGAGGACGGAAAUUUAAAAACACUCAUUGCAUAGGUAGGAGAGACUGGGCAACCGCCUUUAUCAGAACCUCCGACCCACUUUAGAUAAAACCAUCCCCUUCCAGCCUUGUAACUUCUUCCAUAUUUUCUCCUUAACCCCUCGCGUGAUCACCUUUUUCGAACGUCCUACCACUGCUGGUAGCCCUAGAUAUCGAUCAUGAAUAUCCACCUCUUGCACUUCCAAAAAAGCCGUUAUCUCCCCACAUCUACCUGCAGGCACUCUGCGACUAAACGACACAUUUGUUUUCUCAAAAUUCACUUUCAGCCCCGACGCCUUCUCAUAGAGACUCAACACCUGUUUAAUUGCCACUGCAUCUUGCAUUGAACCCCUAGUAAAUAUUAUACAGUCAUCCGCAAACAAAAGAUGGUUAAUCGAGGGAGCUAAAGGAGCCACCUUGAUCCUCUUCAAUGAAUUAUUCUCCUCCGCCCUACGCAAUAAAUGAGAGAACACUUCAGCACAUAAUAUAAACAUGUAGGGGGGUAGAGGAUCCCCCUGCCGGAUGCCCCUUCCAGUGUUCUAAUUACAAACAAAAGAUAAAAUUUUUUAGUGUUCCUCUUGUUUUGUUUUACGGAAGAAAAUGUCUAGGAUUCGAGGUGAAUACAGAGUAAUUUUUUUUUCUCUUAAAUUUUUUUGUAGAAGGAAUAUUAUAAUAAAUAAUAAUGUUUAAAAAUAAUUUUAUUAAGUAGUUACAUAAUAAAACAAUUGAUUAAAUAUAUAAACUUCUUUAUAAAAAUCAACCAUCGUUUUUAGAUUAUGAACUAUCAGGAUUGUCCUUACUUUUUUUUAGGGAAAAAGGAGAAUCCUACUUAUUAUAUCAUAAGAUUAAGAAAAGUUUUUAUACGGCUAUUAUAUAUUCCCUCUGUUUUUUUUAUUGUUCUCACUUAGGAUCUUUACACUAUUCAUACUUAGAGAGAAUCUUCUCAAUUUUUUUUAAUUUAUAAGAAAAAAUAUAGUCAUCUGGGGUCUUGUUUGAUUCGUCUCAAUUAGUACAUUUUUAAUAUUCAAUCGUUAUAAUUUUUACUAUGAUAUAAUAGAAGAUAUUUAAGUUCAAAAAUGUGCAUUGGGAGAUGUGCACAUAAAAGUUAGAAAGAUAAAAAAAACAGAGGGAGUAUAUUUUAAUUUUCUUAAAUAGACACUUGACAUUCAAAAUAUAAUGCAUGGGAUGAAAUAUAAUAUAAUUACGUAUCCCUAAAAAAUCGUAAUAUUGUUUGUAUUUUAAAACAAAUAUAUCUUUCUACCCGUGUUAAAUUUUCUUAAAUUAGUUCAUGAAAAAAAAUAUUCCAUGAUAAUGUUAUUAGUUCAAUUUUUUAAGGAAUUUAAAGAGAUUGUUGAUAUUUAUUCACAAAAUUAAAAAAAAAUCUUGCUUUAAAGUAUUGAAAAUGUCACAAUUCUAGAUUGUUUUCAAGACAAGUUUAUCUUACCUAUAUUGGACUCUUUUCAAAUUAGUGUACCAUAAAAUAUACAAUAAUAGUUUCAACCGUCCAAAAAUUAAAGAAAAUAAUGAAAUUGUUGAUUUCAUUUAAGCCUGUUAAAAAUAUACAAAAAUGCAUCAUGUUUCAACUUAUUUUUCACAUUGUUAUUUAUGGUACAAAAAUCAUAAGUUCUUGAGUUUAUAAUUACUCUAUUGAAUUAUCUAUCUUACGCUACAUAUAUGUAUUUUUAUCACUUUAAAGUUUUUUUAAAAAAUUAUUUUAAAUUUUAAUUUUCAAUAUAUGACACCUUACUGCCCGAACUAAUAGUGUCAAGUUAGGAUGUAUUAAAAUGGUGAAUUAGGUGAACAUAUAUUACAACCUACCUAAGCAACUUCUUUGCCACCUUGAGGGUGAGUUAUUCCCUUAAAUUCGACUUUAAAUUUUAGAUUUUACCACAUCAGUUUUUCACUAAUUUUUAAUUUUAUAGACUCACUUCAGAUUUAUUUCAAUUUUAUAUUUUAUUUCUCAAACUCUUUUCAGACUCAUUCUACAAAAAAGAAAAAGACACAUGGUAUUUUUUUAUUGGUCAAAAAAUAUAUUAUUUACAUAACAAGAGUCUUGAGACGAGUCUUGAAUAUAAAAAUUCAAUUUAAAACUCUGUCCAAAACUUUAUUCAAAUAUAAUCGGGUCUUGUUGAAUCCUGUCAUAAAACUCCUCUCAAAAUCUCUUUUAAGACUCUCAAUAUUUUCACCAAUGAGUAAAAGAUUGAUUCUAAAAUGAGUAAUCUAUGUAGUUCUAGAAAGAUUCCUUGAAUCCUUGCUUUGGGUUUAGGUAUAUCUCUAGGUUCCAACAACUGUCGUCAUCAGGCUAAGAUAAGAUGGAUCAUAUCUUAACUUCUGGGUCAUAAGUAAUCCUUAUCAUCACUCUCAAAUUAUGCGCUAAUUUUCGAAAUUAUGACUAUCAAUUUUAUUAUUGGAGAAGAAGACAACACUUUUUUAUUCUUGUUUGUAUCCUAAUAUUAAUUGUUAGAAUUUUAUCUUUGAGUUGGAGCUUGUCUGUUCUCUUUUUGGUUUGUUAGCAAGGUUGGUUGGGAGAGGAGUGUUUCUUAGUUUCUAUUCUGUGUAGCAUGUACUUAUUCAUCUACUAUUAUACACAGCUCUAAAAGAUGAGAAAUCAAAUAUAGGUAAUAUCUAAAUGCAUAAUUAAGAAUUAAGUUUAGCCUAAUUGGUUCAAGAUCCUCUUUUCGUUUCAUGUGAAGAGGUUCGUUUCUUACCUUUUAUAAAAUGCAUUAUCAAUUUCUCCCUACUUGUAGGAAAUUUAAUCUUAUCUUAAAAGAAAAUUAAAGAUAAAAUUAUAUCUAAAUGCAUAAUGUAUGGAUGCGACUAUGUGGAUAUGCAUAAUCAUAGGAGCUCAUUCAUAUAUACCAAGAUGCAUUAUAUGUAUGGUAUAUCUAAUAUUAAUUGACCAUUUGCUCAUUUAGAACUCUCUUUUUUGUUUAUUUUGAUCAUUUCAAAUGAGUAGUGAGCAAAAAAAAAAAAAAAAAAAAGCCUUGGCCCUUGAAUGUGCCAUGUUCAAGACACUUGCGUAUAUAAAUUUUUUAUAAUCACAUUUAUUGGUAAAAUCGUAGAAGCGGAUAAAAUAGUUUUUUAUAUAGUCAUGCACAGAUUUAUCAGCUUUAUUUUGAGAAAAGGUUUUCUUUAUAUAUAUAUUAUUCCUUGGUUCUUUAUUGAUGCUCUUAGGUAUGCACUUUUUUUUUUUUUGAUAGAAAUGUACGUCUUUAACCAUUGAUAUAUGAAAGUACUUGUUAGUGCAAAUUAUAGAACUUUGGUACUAUUAGGUACUCAUUGAUAGGAAUAAGAUAAGAUUUUACUUGACUAUCCUUUUCUUAUAUACUGAAAAUAAUUUAGAAGUUUUUGUUUGUAAUUCAAUAUAUAGUUUUUCUAACCUAUACCAUAAGACAUAGAGCAUCAAAAUUCUUAUAUUAAGAUAUGAUUAUACAAAGAGUUUAAAUUUAAAACCUAACAAACUAAAAAAACUUACAUGAUUCUUGAUAUUCUUGAUACUAGUUUUUAUGUGCACGCGAUGCGUGCGAAAAUACGUAGAAUUUUUUUUUCGGGAAUGUUGAAAAUUAAAUUAAUUUUUAAUUAUAUCUUAUCAAUUAGGUAUAUUUGAAUUGUUGAUGGUUUUCUUUUUGUAAUGUUUUUUUUAAAAAAUAAAUUAAUUAAGUAGUUUUCUUUUUUCUUUUUAAAUUAAAGUAAGUAGUUAAAAUAGAAAUGUAAUGAGGGUAAAAUGGGGUUUCUAAUAUUUUGGUGUCCUACCCCUCUUCCCAUAUAGAAUAGAGAUCUUUAGUAUCUAUUAUUAUUAUUAUUUAUUAUGUUUAAAUAGAAUCUUGUUAUUUUUUUUAAUGAAAAUUUGAAAUUCUCAAACCUAUACUCCUUGUGGUAUAGGUUAGAAACGUCCCAAAAACUGCUAAUAUUACAAGAAGAAUUAUAAUAAUAAACGAAGAAAAUAUAUUAUAUUAUUAUACUUCCUUUCCGUGAAACAAAAUAAAUUAUCUAAAAAAUGUAUUAAAAAGGAGAUAUAUUUUAUCUAUUUCAGAAAGGAUGAAGUCUCCCUUCGUCCGUUAAUAGAUUUUUUAUUUCUUCAAUGUAUCUUUGCAGUUGGUUUUGUAUUUAAUAUCUUUAAUUAUAUAUUAGUAAAAAUUAUAAAAGUUUAAUUUUUGUCUACAAAUUUUCUUCACUUAUAAACAGUUGAAAAUAAAACUUUGUUAUUAAGAGAUAUAGGGAGUAGUUUGUUGAGGUGAUUCCAUUUUGCAAAUGGUUUUUGCACCGCAAGUAAUAUCUGAAGCGAAAACAAAAUCCACCGCCUUAGAGAUACCAGAAGUUAUCUGCAAUAGAUAAAGAUGCAGGCUUGAUUUAUCACGUUACGCGACGACAUAUGUGGUCAGUGUCCUAUUUCCGUAUACUAUUUGUAUAUAUAUAUGUUGAACUAUUACAAUUUACAGCAUUAGAAGUUUCCGACUUUUCCAAGUUUGGGUUAAUCGGCACCUGCGCCGAGUUUUGUCUUGCAAAAAGAAAGUAUUACAACACGAGGGUGGGGAGUAGAACAAAUACACAUGAUUCACUGAUUGCACAUCAUGUCGUCUGCUACUUUGUUUUUUAUAUAUAUAUAUAUUAUAUGCACGCGAUAGGUAUGAAGAUACAUAUUUUUUUGUUUCAAAUUAGUUGUGAUAUUUUUAAAAUUAGGACUUUUUAAAUAAUUUUUGGAGGGUAGAGACUAGAGAGAUAGAAAAAGAAAAUAAAGGGUCUUAUGUGAUAGGAGAGAGAUGAAGAGAAGUUAUUACCUAAAAUAAAAGUAUGACAUUUAAUUUGAAACUUAUUGAACUAGAAAGUGACAUAUCUAAAUUGAAACAGAUGAAGUAGAAAAUUUAAUCUAAUAUAAUAAAUUAAGGAUUUUUAAAUUUUUAAUUAGAACAUCUCACUAAAGUAGAAAUUCUAAAAUUCUUUCAAAAAUUUAAAGAGGGGAGUAACUAAUUGUAUUGCAAAGUUCAAAAGUUUUCUUUUUUUGUUCCUAUUGCGUUUUUCAGAAAAGAGCAUGAGUUUUUUUCAACAAUUUUUCAAAAUAAAAGAACACAUAAUUUAAAUUUGAAAAACAUGUACAUCUUUAAUUAUGAAAGGGUUUUGUGAUGCAGAUUGAGGAACCUCUACUUUCUUUGGAAGGUCUCUCAUAGGAUAUUGUAUUUUCAAUGUUGGAUUCUUGGUCUCUUGGAAGAUCUAAAAACAAAAAACAGUCUUAAAAUCAUCAAUAGAGUCGAAAUCUAGAAAUAUGUUUCAAACAAUAAGUGAAUUGGUAAGGGUUUGUUGGGCCUCUGGGGUAAGUGAUUUUGUACGAGGACAAUCUAGAAGAAAUUCAUCUCAACACGGAUUUCCACAAAGUGGUCAAAAAAAUAUAUGUCAUAAAUGACUUGGUAUGUACAUGAACUAUGUGGACGAGUUUGAUGAGAUCUUGUUUGUUUACUCCAAAUAUUAUUAUUUUUUGCUUGUGUAGUAAAUAAGCUAAAUUCCCACACCUUUGUGUUUGUGAGGUUAAAUAUUCAUGAGCAAUUUGUGUGUUUAGUAAUUGCAUCAUACUCCCUCCGUCUCAUUUUAUAGUUUUCGUAUUUUAUUUUAGGUGUUUUAAAAUGCUGUUUCCAUUUCCCUUGUUUUAUUGUUGAUAUAAUUUUUUUCAUCUCUCUCUCUCUCUAUCUUUUCACAUGAGUUUUUGAUACCUUCAUUUAAAGUUCCUUUAAUCUCAUUGGUUGUGUAUAAGAAAAAAUAUUUUUUACUUUCUCUCUCCUCUUUUCACAUGCUCACCCAUUAAUAUUCUAAUUCUUUUUUUUUAUUUUUUUAUGACAAUAAUUUGAAAAAAAAUAUAACAACUUCCAAUACAAGUACACAAUACUCAUGGUUUUCUUAAUUUCUGUGCUCAAAGUGAAACGAGAACUAUAAAAUGAGACGAAGGGAGUAUGUUUUUGUCCUUUAAAAUGUAAAUCAAGCGAGGACUAUAUGUAGAUUAUCCCUGUCUUUAUGUAUUGGUUGGUAAUUGGUUGCUUCAUUUUUAACUCGUAGCCAUUAAAAUGUAAAUACAAGUACAUAAUACUCACCUUAUUUUUGCUUAUUUCAGAUCUAAUCAGAUUAGAUCAGAUCAGAAAAAAUUAGUUCAGAUCAAAUCAGAUCAGUUUAGAUUAGAUCAUGCUUAUAUAUAAAAACUCAUUAUUACUACUUCCUCCGUUCCGUUUCAAAUGAAACGUUUGCUUUUUCACGCAACCCAAUGCGCUUCUUUAGUCAUUAAUAUCUAUAGUUGUGUAUGCGUAAAAAAUAUAAAAAAGUUAUAAUUUGAUAGUAUGCAUCGAGACGAAUCUAACAAGAUCCCACUUGACUAUUUUUCUUUAUAUAAUAGCGAUAAAUUGGAGUCAAAAUUGAUCAAUGAAUAGUGUCAUUUGAUCCAAUGUUUCAUUUAAAACAGAACGGAGGAAGUAUUAAAUAUCUUUCACUACAUAUUAGUAAAAAUUAUAAUAAUUGAAUAUUAAUAAAGUACUCAUUGAGACGAAUCAAACAAGAUCUCACAUGACUAUAUUUUUUCUUAUAUAUUGAGAAAAAUCUAAAAAAAAUUCUCUAAUUGUGAAUAGUGUCAAGAUUUUAAGUGAGAAAGAAAAAAAAAAUACAAAGGGAGUAUUAUUAUUUACUAGUACAUUUGUUCAAAAAGAUUAUUAUUGUUGUUGUACUUAUUAAUUAUUAAUAUUGGUAAGUAUUAUUAAUCUUGUUGUUAUCAUUAUAAAUGUCAUUGUUAUCAUUAUUUUAAGUUAAUUUGUUGUUAUUAAAUAAUAAAAAAUUAAAAGUCACAUGUUAAGAACAUAAGAUUGACGCAAAAAUUAGAAAUAUAUUAAAUAUGAUAGCUCAAAUUCAUGACAACGGAACUACAAAGUUCGGAUUACAUUUCAAAAUAAGCUAAGUGCGAGGUACAAAUUAUAAAUUUAGAUUCGGUAUACCUCUUCCUACCGAAUUUCAAGUCUAUCUAGCUUUUCGAAGUUGCACGCUAUUUAUUUCUUUCUUGCGCAAGUCAUAGUUGUUUGUAUAUCUUAUUUUAUUUUAUAUGAAAAAAAAGAGUUGAGUCUGCCGACUUCUCAAGUGAGAAACACUUUUUCUUAAGGAAAAGUGUGAAACAUUGUAUAAGUGCUCUUAUAAAUUAAUGACUUGGGUUAUAUGAUUAUUUUUAACAAUAAUUAUUAUUAUUAUGAUUAUAAUUAUUGUUGUUGUUCUUAUAAUACUGAUAAUAAUAAUAAUAAUUAUUAAUAAAAGUUGUAAUAGAAAUAAAAUGAUAAUAAUAAUAGUAAUACUAUAAAUAAGAUCUUAUAAUGUAUUGCAUGAUACUGAAUUACAAAGUAAUAAUAUAACAAUAGUAUAUUUUAUAAAAGAUAAGAUCUUGUAAAUAAGUUCAGAUCAGAAAAAAUAAGUUCAGAUUAGAUCAAAUCAGAUCAGAUAAGUUCAGAUCAGAAAAUUUCAGGUGAAUUAAACAUACCCUUAAUUAGAACGACUCCAUCUAAUUAAGAUUGUUUAGACUUUAGAAUUGCUUAAAGAUUUUUUUGAUUUUAGCCACUUAUAGAUCAUUUGUUUUACGCUUUAUCACUUUUUGGAUUUUUUUUUGUAUUUUUACUAAUUUGUUAAGAAUCGCCAUCUUGACUAGGGAUGGCAAUGGGGCGGGUCAAGUGGGAGACCCGCCCCAUCCCCGUCCAAGUGGAGCGGGGAUGGGUCUAGGUUUGGUAGGGAUGGGGCGGGGAUGGGGAUUAAAAUGCUACCCGCAAUGGGUGGUGGAGCGGGUAUGGAUUUUAUGCUAUCCCCACCCCAUCCCCCCCGCCCCGCCCACCCCGCCCGCCCCACAUAUAUAUGAUUAAAAUUCUAUUGAUAUACUUAUAUUAUUAAUUAUUUUAUCUUGCAAAAUAUAAAUAUGUGGAUAUGACGUAGGUACGAAGCGGGUGUGAAUACUCAUGUGGGUGUUAGGGGUGGGGAUGAAGUGGUUACAACGCGGAUAUGAAGCGGGUGCGGGUACCCAUGCGGGUGGUGGGGCGGGGAUGGGUAUAAAUACGUACCUCGUGGGGCGGGGAUGGGUCUGAAAUUUUCCCCCGCAAUGGGUGGUGGGGCGGGGAUGGGGAUUGGAAUUUAAGGCGGGUGCGGGUGUGGAGGUACCAUCAUCCGCACCCGCCCCCCCCGUCCCGCCCCGCCCCGUCCCGCCCAAUUGCCAUCCCUAAUUUUGACUUAGCUACGGUAAAAAAUCCAGCAAGGGGGCUUAAUAAUUGUUUUAUAUUUAGUUUCCUUCAAUUUUUCUCCUUUAGCCUCGAUUUUUCAUUUUCUCUACAUUUAAAUUUCAAUUUUGUCUCUCAUUCCUCUAAAAACCCAACUUUCUUUGACAGAAGCCUAAAUCAAGUUAGGGCUUGCGUUUUUUUUUUAACAAAUUCGACCUUAAUCAAAUGAAAAAAUGGAGAUCCCACUACAGUUGAAGGUAUGCUUUCUCGGCCUACUGUAACAGGUUAGGGUUCUUGUUCAUUGAAUGUUUUGGUAAUUUUAAAUUAGGACAUAUAUUAGACUUGGGCAUGGGUCGGCCCUGUUCACGGGCUCGACCUGUGGGCUUGGGGAAAUGCCGGGCCCGUGCCCUUGUGUGGCGGGUCGGGCUUGAAAUUUUCAAAUUUUGUCCACGGGCCGGCUCGUGCAUUCCGCGGGCCUGGCCCGUGUUUUAUGUUUUUUUUUAUGUUUGGUAGUUUUAGGCUAAAAAACAAAGGAAAAGAGCGUUCGGCCCGCGAGCUGGCCCACACGGGCUCGUGUCGGUGCGGGCCUGAAAUUAAAAUUCUUGGCCGUGACAGGCCCGCGGCCCACACAGCGGACAACGGGCCAGGUCGGGCCUCGAGCGGGCUCUUGCCGGACCGGACCGAAAUCGUGUUGGGACGGGCCGACCCGGCCCAUGCCCACCUCUAAUGUCAUAUAUGGUGUUAUUUAGCAUGUUGCUUGCUUUGGUCCUUAUGUAUUUUCAUUAUUAUAGGAACAUAAUGUCUCGGUCUUCUUCCCAAAACAACCAAAAGAGAGCAACUAUGGAAGUCCUCCUGCUAUAAAAGUCGAAAUAUAAGGGGAGAAAGAGGAGAUUGGUAUUUUGGAUUUUUUGGGUGAAGUGGAGGAGAAAUAGUGUAAAAGAAUCUCUGUCAAAAUUAAAGAGGAGUUGAUAAUUCUUACAAAAAGUUUGUUGAAGGGAAUUGAAUUGAAGGUAAGAAUGUGAAUAGUUCAAGGGGAUAGAAGGUAAUAGAGGAAAAGUGGAAUGAGGAAGGAAGAAAGAGAAAUUUUUUUUUGGGGGUGUUGGGGGGGGGGGGGGUUGAGGAGAGUAAAUAAGGAGGGGAAUAUUUUUGUCCCAAAUGUGGGUCUCAUCGGAUUUUUGGCUGGAAAAUGAGUUAGGUGGUAGUUUUUAAUAAGUUGGAAAAUUGAAUAUGGCAAAAUUGAAGAAAAUAAAAUAAAAGGUAAUAAAGCGUAAAACAACCUACUUAUAAGGUGUUAAAUUU